UACGUAGGAGGCAAGCGUUGUCCGGAAUUACUGGGUGUAAAGCGCGUGUAGGCGGCAGGCCAAGUCUGUGGUGAAAUCGCUCGGCUCAACUGGGGCGGGGUCCAUGGGAAACUGGUCAGCUGGGAGGACGGUAGAGGUGAGUGGAAUUCCCGGUGUAGUGGUGAAAUGCGUAGAGAUCGGGAGGAACACCCGUGGCGAAGGCGGCUCACUGGGCCGGUCCUGACGCUGAGACGCGAAAGCGUGGGGAGCAAACAGG
rnacentral:rRNA from 1 species